rnacentral:lncRNA from 1 species
AUGGGCCCAGCUGCAGCCUGGCUCUUCACAGCAGUGAGGUGCCUGGCAGCCUCUCACUGCCCCUGGCUCCGCUCCAUUGAGUCAGCCUCUCCACCACCCCCUCCACUUCCUGGCAGCUGGACCAGGAGGCUGGAAGCUAGAGGCAAACUGUGGCACCUGGCUGUGUGGUCUGCCACUAAUGACAGCCCCCGCCGAAUCAUGCCUCAAUUGCUGUACCUUUCCUUCAUAAAGGUCCAAAUGAGAAAAAGGGAAGGGAUGAAAGGGAUUUUCCUGGAAAUCACGGUUAAUUUUCUGUUAAAUUGAGUGUAAAGUGUUGGCGUCAGGAAAUUCUAGACUGUUUUUCUCUCUGUAUUUUUUUCUUUAGUUUCCUAAAUCAUUGUUUCACCUUUAAAGGCUCUAUUGAUUUUCUUCACUGUGUCACAGCUUGGAAACAAGUGUUUGCUAGUUACUUAUAAAAGUCACCUAAGUAGUCAGCUGGGAAGCCAAUCACAUUGGUUUGGAUAUCAGCCUGACUAACUAUUUGUGUGUCUGAAUCUGGAGAACUAUCUUCAUGGAAAAUUUUUUUGCCCUUUCUGACCCUCUCUUCCCUCCACUUGUUAAAGGGAGGAUUUAAAAAUAUAGGAUGUAAAAAUUUCUUUCCAAUACAAAGUGAUUUUUGCUGCUUAUGAUGCAGCAUGUCAUCACAUAGCAUUACAUAUGUAAUCUUAACAAACACACAAUAAGAACAUACAUAGUCACCACUAACUCCAUAUUUUCUUACAUCUUAAAUUAGAUGAAAACAGAUAUAAUUACGUAAGGAUUAAACCUCAGACUUAUUUUUGUAUACCCGUAAUAUGUACAAACAUGAAGGUUUAUUUUUCAGGAGUGUGUAAUGAUAACGAUAUUUGUGAUUAUCAUGCCAAACGAAUAUGAAACAAUUAUAUUUUAUAAUUUUAGGCCUAGAAUCUGGGAAUUCUGAGUCUCAGUCCAAGAUUUCUUGACAAAAUGCCAUGGCUGAGGCUUAAUUUUCAGCUUUAGUACAAGGGACAUAUUUAUUGUUUCUCAGCUAUUUAAAAAAUGUACUUGUGUUUUCAGAUGCUACUUCUCCGCUAGCUAGAGUAGUUAUCUAACUUAUACAACCACUCACCAAACCUGCUGCAGUAGCAAGUGUUCAUCACGUUUAUUGUAUGCAAAAGUCCAUACCUCAAUGAUGCCUAAAAGUUUUUCAAACUAAGGCUCUGAGUUUUUGUAAAUUUUACUUAAUAAACCAAUUAAACUAUAUUCAUUAUGAUCCCUGGAGGGUUAUCUGCCAAGACAAUGCUCUUACAACUAA